rnacentral:hammerhead_ribozyme from 1 species
GUCCAGAUGACGAGUCCGAAAUAGGACGAAACGCUCGUCCUGGAU